CUGCUGGGAAACCUUGUGUCCUGGCAUUCAUGUGUUCAUGUGGAUGUUACUUUGACAAGUUCCUUCAGGGAAAGAUUUACCCUCCUAUAUAUAUAUAUAUACAUACAUACAUACACACACACACACACACACACACACACACACAAAAAGUUGGGGUAUUCGAAUGGAUGUGUUAAUGCGACUUGUUUAUGGUAUGAUUGAAUGGUGAAUGUGACUAGGUUUUUGGUGACUAGGGCUUUACUAUGUGU